rnacentral:lncRNA from 1 species
GCCAACGCCCCAGGCCUGCCCUGCAGGGACCCCGGCCUCCCCUCCCCUGGAGGAGCCCAGGAGCCUCUCCAGGUCGCCCCGCGACGGGCGCCCGCGCAUCCGCGGCUCUGGCGGCAGAGGGCACCCCUGCCCCGCCCGUGGAUCGGAGGCUCCCGCGUGGGUAAGGGGGGGGGGGGGAGCGAGCAGGGCUGCAGGGGGAAGCCGACGGCCUGGUCCAUCUUUGGCUCCCGGGGGGCUCUUCUUGGAUCCGCAAGAGCAGGAGCGAAGGGGCCAGCUGCGGGGGGCGGUGGGGCGCAGGGGGGCGGGGGGCGGGGGUUCAGGGGGGCGGGGGGCCGGGGGAGAGGGGUAGUUCCCGAGCCUGGGCCACACGGGGGCGGCUGGGAGCAAAGGGGCCGACGGGGACAGGCGGCCGGGCCCUGUUUGUUUACCUGGCUUCUGAGACUGGGCCUCCUUCCCCGCGGCCCAGGGGCGCCCGCCAGGUGCGCCCCGCCCACCACCUGGUCCCGACCGCGGCUGCCUGUGGGUGCGGCACCUGCCCCUGCCCCUGCCCGGUGGGUGCGACACUUGCCGCCGCGCCCCGCGGAUGUGGCCUCUCCGUGCUCCCCCGGGGGCGGCACCUCUGCAUGCUCCCUGCAGGUGCAGCACCUGUCCGUGCUCCCCCGGGGGCGGCACCUCUCCGUGCCCCCCGCAGGUGCAGCACCUCUCCAUGCUCCCCGCAGGUGCAGCACCUCUCCGUGCUCCCCCGGGGGCGGCACCUCUGCAUGCUCCCCGCAGGUGCAGCACCUCUCCAGGCUCCCCGCGGGGCGGCACCUCUGCCUGCUCCCCCGGGCGCGGCACCUGCCCCAGCCCCCAGAGGGUAUGACACCUGCCCCGGCUCACUGCGGGUGCGGCACCUGUCGGGUGGGACUGACGCUCCCACCGGGUCCACAGGGAGAGAGGAACAGGGGUUUGGCCGCCUCCCCGGGCUUGCGCAGCCUUCCUGACAAAGGACGGUGUUGGUUUCUUGUCUGGUGCACACACGGCAACGUGACCUCUGAACAGUGGACUCCCUCUUUUUUGGUAGAACCCCUACUAUUACUACAGUUUUUGAACUUGCACCCAAACAAUGUAUAUUUAUUUAUGUAUUAUAUGAAUACACUUCUUUAUUAA